rnacentral:rRNA from 1 species
AGAGUUUGAUCAUGGCUCAGAACGUACGCUGGCGGCACGCCUAAUACAUGCAAGUCGAACGAAGUAGCAAUACUUAGUGGCAGACGGGUGAGUAACAUGUGGGUAUCUUCCCUUUGGUGAGGAAUAACACGAGGAAACUUGUGCUAAUACCUCAUAAGUCUUUACGGAGAAAGCUUUAUGCGCCAUUGGAUGAGCCCGCACUUGAUUAGUUUGUUGGUGGGGUAAUGGCCUACCAAGACUGUGAUCAAUAGCUGAUUUGAGAGGAUGAUCAGCCACAUUGGGACUGAGACACGGCCCAAACUCCUACGGGAGGCAGCAGUAGGGAAUCUUGCACAAUGGAGGAAACUCUGAUGCAGCGAUGCCGCGUGAGUGAAGAAGGCCUUUGGGUUGUAAAGCUCUUUCGUCGGGGAAGAAAAUGACUGUACCCGAAUAAGAAGGUCCGGCUAACUUCGUGCCAGCAGCCGCGGUAAUACGAAGGGACCUAGCGUAGUUCGGAAUUACUGGGCUUAAAGAGUUCGUAGGUGGUUAAAAAAGUUGGUGGUGAAAUCCCAGAGCUUAACUCUGGAACUGCCAUCAAAACUUUUUAGCUAGAGUAUGAUAGAGGAAAGCAGAAUUUCUAGUGUAGAGGUGAAAUUCGUAGAUAUUAGAAAGAAUACCGAUUGCGAAGGCAGCUUUCUGGAUCAUUACUGACACUGAGGAACGAAAGCAUGGGUAGCGAAGAGGAUUAGAUACCCUCGUAGUCCAUGCCGUAAACGAUGUGUGUUAGACGUUGGAAAUUUAUUUUCAGUGUCGCAGCGAAAGCAAUAAACACACCGCCUGGGGAGUACGACCGCAAGGUUAAAACUCAAAUGAAUUGACGGGGACCCGCACAAGUAGUGGAGCAUGUGGUUUAAUUCGAAGAUACGCGCAGAACCUUACCAACACUUGACAUGUUCGUCGCGACUCUAAGAGAUUAGAGUUUUCGGUUCGGCCGGACGAAACACAGGUGCUGCAUGGCUGUCGUCAGCUCGUGUCGUGAGAUGUUGGGUUAAGUCCCGCAACGAGCGCAACCCUUACUUUUAGUUGCCAUCAUUUAGUUGGGCACUCUGAAAGAACUGCCAGUGAUAAGCUGGAGGAAGGUGGGGAUGACGUCAAGUCCUCAUGGCCCUUACGUGUUGGGCUACACACGUGCUACAAUGGCAUUUACAAUAGGAAGCAAGGCGGCGACGUCAAGCAAAUCCUAAAAAAAUGCCUCAGUUCGGAUUGUACUCUGCAACUCGAGUACAUGAAGCUGGAAUUACUAGUAAUCGUGGAUCAGCGUGCCACGGUGAAUACGUUCCCGGGUCUUGUACACACCGCCCGUCACACCAUGGGAGUUGGUUCUACCUUAAGGCAAAGUUUAAAACCUUUGACCACGGUAUAGUCAGCGACUGGGGUGAAGUCGUAACAAGGUAGCCGUAGGGGAACC